rnacentral:tRNA from 1 species
GCCCGGGUAGCUCAGUCGGCAGAGCAGCUCACUCGUAAUGAGCAGGUCGUCGGUUCGAAUCCGACCUCGGGCUCCA